GCGCCCGUAGCUCAACUGGAUAGAGUAUCAGACUACGAAUCUGGGGGUUGUGGGUUCGAGUCCCCCCGGGCGCGCCA
rnacentral:tRNA from 1 species